AGGAAGGGGGCGGGGGAGAAAGGAGGGAGAAACAGAGGAAGGAAGUGGGGCUUCUCUCGCGAGAUUUCAACAGCGCUGGUCCUUCAGGGUGACUUCCGUCUUUCUGUACCGCUCCCUCUUGGGAACCACAAGGCGCCUUUACGGCUGCUGCGGGAUCUGCUGGUGGCGCUUGGCGGCUUCCUGCGGAUCCACCCCUCUUCUCCCGCGCGAGGAGGCAACCCCAGCCUCACCAGGAACAUCGAGCCCAAAUCGACCGGGAGUUACACUCAAAGUCUUCCCCCCGUCUUUCCACUCCACCCGAUUUCUCUCUUCCUUUUUCCACUCCUCCACUCUUCCCCGCCGGAAACGCCGCUCCUUCCUCCUACAGUUCCGCCCGCCAAUCCCUCGAUUCUUGUCUUCCCUCGCGCACGACUGACGCGAAGGCCUCCUUCUUCUCUGCUGCCCCUCCCCAUGCAAACUGGGAGACUUUUGGAGGAGGUAGGGUGGAAGAGAAAGGAAACCAACCGGAUUGGAUAAGCAGCUGUCAUGGCAACUGGAGGCUGUGGUUGUAUCGUCAUAGUAACCGGAGUGUGCGGACAGGGUGACCCUCCCCUUGGCGAAAGGAUUCCCGGGAAACCGCCCAGGAUUCCCCCUUGACUUCCCUUCCAUCCCCAGGCCACCCUGGCGUGGGAAUCGAGGACACCGUCGGCGACUGAGCGUCUGACAGCCUGCGGGACUAGACCGGCGAAGGUGGAAACACGUCCUAGAAAGCUGACAAGUGGUACUCAAGCAUUUGAAAUCCAGGACGGUCGGAGGGGCUUAUUACUGCCCUCCCUCUUAGAAGGGUUCCCAGUAAGGAUCCCGGCUUGAUUAUUAAAGGCCGCUUUUCAAGUACCCUCCUCCCAGGAGUCUCAGUAUUUUAGAACUUGACACCCUGUAAUUUGGGGAUCAGAGAGAAAAUAUUGACUAAACUAGUGUUGGCACGAAGGUCCAAUGAAAGGAGUCUAGGAAAAGAAUUUUCCAUUCUUAUGAACAACUCUUUUUGAAUGUCUUAUGUGCAUUUUGUGUCAGGUACGGGGCUAAAACGCAGUCAAUGUAUUGUAGAGUGUAUGAGAAUUGCUGGAGAAGUCGUCAUGCUGACAGCUUGAAUAAAUUGACGUUUUCCAAAUUUCA